rnacentral:rRNA from 1 species
GACUACAGGGGUAUCUAAUCCUGUUUGAUCCCCACGCUUUCGUGCCUGAGCGUCAGUUACAAUUUAGUGAGCUGUCUUCACGAUCGGUGUUCUGUGUCAUAUCUAAGCAUUUCACCGCUACAUGACACAUUCCGCCCACUCCAAGUGUACUCAAGAACAACAGUAUCAAUGGCAGUUCUACAGUUGAGCCGUAGGAUUUCACCACUGACUUAUCAUUCCGCCUGCGCACCCUUUAAACCCAAUGAAUCCGGAUAACGCUUGCAUCCUCCGUAUUACCGCGGCUGCUGGCACGGAGUUAGCCGAUGCUUAUUCUUACGGUACCAUCAGCACCGGUACACGACCGGUGGUUUUUUCCCGUACAAAAGAAGUUUACAACCCGUAGGGCUGUCAUCCUUCACGCGGCAUGGCUGGUUCAGACUUGCGUCCAUUGACCAAUAUUCCUUACUGCAGCCCCCCGUAGG